rnacentral:misc_RNA from 1 species
GAUGAAGAACGCAGCGAAAUGCGAUAAGUAAUGUGAAUUGCAGAAUUCAGUGAAUCAUCGAAUCUUUGAACGCACAUUGCGCCCCCUGGAAUUCCAGGGGGCAUGCCUGUUCGAGCGUCUCAGGGACGAACCCUCGCGCGGGUGUACGCGCGGUCGUGGCUGCGGUGGCGUGCCCGAGGCGGCGGCCACCGCGCUGGAAUCCAUGGGCGGACGCCUGCCGCGUGGCCGAGCGUGAUAUGACGCAUUGGCGCUCGCACGCGGCGAGGCUGCCAGCCCUGGCCCGUCUGUCGGGCGGGGGAGAGCAAGACACGUGAACUCCUCGAAUCAGGUAGGGAUACCCGCUGAACUUAAGCAUAUCAAUAAGCGGAGGA